CCCGGGAGCAGAGUCCCCACCGG
rnacentral:snRNA from 1 species